rnacentral:snRNA from 1 species
GUGCUUGCUUCGGCAGCACAUAUACUAAAAUUGGAACGAUGCAGAGAAGAUUAGCAUGGCCCCUGCACAAGCACGACACGCAAAUUCAUGGAGCGUUCCAUAUUUUU